GAUGAACGCUGGCGGCGUGCUUAACACAUGCAAGUCGAACGGAAAGGCUCCUGCUUGCAUGGGUACUCGAGUGGCGAACGGGUGAGUAACACGUGGGGGAUCUGCCCUGCACUUCGGGAUAAGCCUGGGAAACUGGGUCUAAUACCGGAUAGGACGAUGGUUUGGAUGCCAUUGUGGAAAGAUUGUGCGGUGUGGGAUGAGCUCGCGGCCUAUCAGCUUGUUGGUGGGGUAAUGGCAUACCAAGGCGUCGACGGGUAGCCGGCCUGGGAGGGUGUACGGCCACAUUGGGACUGAGGUACGGACCAGAAUGCUACGUGAGGCAGCAGUGGGGAAUAUUGCGCAGUGGGCCCGAGCCAGAUGCAGCGAUGCCGCGUGGGGGAUGACGGCCUUCGGGUUGUAAACUCCUUUCGCUAGGGACGAAGCGAAAGUGACGGUACCUGGAGAAGAAGCACCGGCUAACUACGUG
rnacentral:rRNA from 1 species